rnacentral:rRNA from 1 species
GAAAGAUGGUUUCGGCUAUCGCUUACAGAUGGGCCCGCGGUGCAUUAGCUAGUUGGUAGGGUAAUGGCCUACCAAGGCAACGAUGCAUAGCCGACCUGAGAGGGUGAUCGGCCACACUGGGACUGAGACACGGCCCAGACUCCUACGGGAGGCAGCAGUAGGGAAUCUUCCGCAAUGGACGAAAGUCUGACGGAGCAACGCCGCGUGUAUGAAGAAGGUUUUCGGAUCGUAAAGUACUGUUGUUAGAGAAGAACAAGGAUAAGAGUAACUGCUUGUCCCUUGACGGUAUCUAACCAGAAAGCCACGGCUAACUACGUGCCAGCAGCCGCGGUAAUACGUAGGUGGCAAGCGUUGUCCGGAUUUAUUGGGCGUAAAGCGCGCGCAGGCGGUCUUUUAAGUCUGAUGUGAAAGCCCCCGGCUUAACCGGGGAGGGUCAU